UCCGCGCCCUCGCUGGGUGCCCUCCGGAGGGACACGUCCUCCUCUGGGCCCCUUACCUCUCAUCGACAACUCCUGGCAGGGACUGGAGCUGACUGAGGUGGCAGUGGCGGCGGCUGAGCCUGCACCCGGGUUCUGGCUCAUGGUUGGUCCUCCUCAUCCGACACAAAAGAGGAAGGAAUUUUUAUCUGGGAACAAUCUGAAAGGAGAGGUACCAGCCUUGAAUUACAUCCAAGAAGAUAGAGAAGAAAAGCCCUAUAGGCAAGAUAUGCUCAAGCAGAGAGAGAGCACGCGGGAGGAGGAGCAAAGGGAGAGGGACAAGCAGACUCUGAACUGAACGCUGAGCUGGAGGCGGGCUCCAUCUCUAGACCCUGAGAUCACAACUUGAGUGGAAAUCCAGAGUUGAAACUAUUCCAAGUAUCUAGGAUACUGAGGAGAUAUGAUGGGGCCCUGAAAUUUCUCUUCUGAUAAUGGUGAGCAGAAAUGUCAACAAAUCAUUAAAUAUACAACAUGAUGGAAUGUAUAAAAGAGGCCUUUUAGGAAGAAUGAUUAUAUAUGUUGCUGCUUAUGAGAAACAUCCUGAACUCAAAUGACCUUUGACUAUAAUUACUAAGGUAAGAGCCUGCUGUUCCACAAGGACUCCAUGUCAAGACUAAACACACAUGUGUGAGAAGGAGCAUAUUCAUUAGAAAUGCCUUUUGGCUGCAAAUGGCAUAUAGUUCUGUUAACUGUGGCUUAAAUAAAUAGUUGUUUUCCAGUUGGUUUAUUUUCACAUAUCAAGACUAAGCAUUUCUGUCUUUUCCUUCAUGUUGCAAUAUUGCUGUUCCUGCUCCAGCUAUCACAUCACUCAUUCAGGAGGUAGGAGAAAGCAGCAGCAGAAGUCAUGUUUGCCCUGUGUAUCAAGAAUGCACAAUCUUUCUCAUCACCACACACCAUAAUACCAUUUAUGUCUAACUGGCUAGACCUGUUCAUUUGACUGUAGCUACAAAUUAUGUUGGAAAAGUGUGUAAUUGGCUUUUUCAGCCUCUUUGGUGUGAGCAUCAAGAAAGAGGGUGAAUGGAAUUGGCAGUUGGGUCAGUCAGCCAAUAGCAUCUGACUCAGGGAGUAAU